GCUAAGUUCAACAUAUGGCACAUGAACAGCAACUAUAUGAUUGACUUUGGUUAAAAUUGUUACAAUAAAUUGCACUCGAGUGAAGAGAAAGAUUCUACAAGAAAAGAAUGUAGAGAUAAAUUCCUUCCUGAAAUAUGAGAUUUAUUUGAGAGAAUACAGCUUCAUGCUUCUUAAUAUGUAACUUCAUAUUUGUGACAGCCCCAAAAAAUCACAGCAGUA
rnacentral:lncRNA from 1 species